AUUGAACGCUGGCGGCAGGCCUAACACAUGCAAGUCGAGCGAGUGGCGGACGGGUGAGUAAUGUCUGGGAAACUGCCUGAGGGAGGGGGAUAACUACUAGAAACGGUAGCUAAUACCGCAUACCCUAAACUGGGCCCAGAUGGGAUUAGCUAGGAGGUGGGGUAACGGCUCACGUAGGCGACGUACCCUAGCUGGUCUGAGAGGAUGACCAGCCACACUGGAACUGAGACACGGUCACGACUCCUACGGGAGGCAGCAGUGGGGAAUAUUGCACAAUGGGCGCAAGCCUGAUGCAGCCAUGCCGCGUGUAUGAAGAAGGCCGUCGGGUUGUAAAGUACUUUCAGCGGGGAGGCGUUACCCGCAGAAGAAGCACCGGCUAACUCCGUGCCAGCAGCCGAGGUAAUAC
rnacentral:rRNA from 1 species